rnacentral:rRNA from 1 species
GACGAACGCUGGCGGCGUGCCUAAUACAUGCAAGUAGAACGCUGAAGGAGGAGCUUGCUCUUCUGGAUGAGUUGCGAACGGGUGAGUAACGCGUAGGUAACCUGCCUGGUAGCGGGGGAUAACUAUUGGAAACGAUAGCUAAUACCGCAUAACAGUAGAUGUUGCAUGACAUUUGCUUAAAAGGUGCAAUUGCACCACUACCAGAUGGACCUGCGUUGUAUUAGCUAGUUGGUGGGGUAACGGCUCACCAAGGCGACGAUACAUAGCCGACCUGAGAGGGUGAUCGGCCACACUGGGACUGAGACACGGCCCAGACUCCUACGGGAGGCAGCAGUGGGGAAUAUUGGACAAUGGGCGAAAGCCUGAUCCAGCAAUGCCGCGUGAGUGAUGAAGGCCUUAGGGUUGUAAAGCUCUUUUACCCGGGAUGAUAAUGACAGUACCGGGAGAAUAAGCUCCGGCUAACUCCGUG